UACGGGAGGCAGCAGUGGGGAAUAUUGCACAAUGGGCGAAAGCCUGAUGCAGCUAUGCCGCGUGUAUGAAGAAGGCCUUAGGGUUGUAAAGUACUUUCAUCGGGGAGGAAAAACAAAACUAAUAAUUUUAUUUCUUGACGUUACCCGAAAAAGAAGCACCGGCUAACUCCGUGCCAGCAGCCGCGGUAAUACGGAGGGUGCUAGCGUUAAUCAGAAUUACUGGGCGUAAAGAGCACGUAGGUGGUUUUUUUAAGUCAGAUGUGAAAUCCCUGGGCUUAACCUAGGAACUGCAUUUUGAAACUGAAAUACUAGAGUAUCGUAGAGGGAGGUAGAAUUCUAGGUGUAGCGGUGAAAUGCGUAGAUAUCUGGAGGAAUACCUGUGGCGAAAGCGGCCUCCUAAACGAAUACUGACACUGAGGUGCGAAAAGCGUGGGGAGCAAACAGGGAUUAGUACC
rnacentral:rRNA from 1 species